GCAUUUCAGAGGUAAUUUUAAAACUGCUAUAUAGCAAUAUCUUAGACAAAAGUACUUUUAAAAUGUGGGGCAGAUAAAUUUUACAUAGAAGACAUUUAUUGUUUCCACAGAAACCUGUGAAUCCACCUCAAGACACAACUAAUCCAGCCUUAGGCACAAAUCCAACAGAUCCUCCAUCUUACCACAAGGUUGCUUGAUCAAUUUUGUGCACACAGAGGACCCUGCUCAUUGGAUGAUGAACACUGGAGAGUCUAAGGAACUAAAAGUUUACAAGAGUAGGGCUUUGUCUGCCUAUAAUGUGGAAGGGCAGAUCUGGGGAGGCCUGUUCUGUCUGAUUCAUUUGAGCUCUAAUCCUCUAGUAGAGGAGGGGAUAUUGUACUGUUUCUAAGCUGUGAGGUAGUGAGGGUUUGGGCCAGAUCUAGAAAUGCCAGACCAUGUAGCUCACAAGUUCUUUUCAGGAUUCUCCUCUGAUGCAGUUGGAGGGAGGUGUGAGGUAGGACAUAAGCUGUGCCAUAUUUGGGGGCCGGGGUGGUGGUGUAUGCAAAUAGAAAGCAUAGGAUGACUAAGCUCUCAGAGUUCCUUCUGAUGGGACUUAGCAGGACCAUCACUGUGGUUCUGUUGGUACAUGUGAAAACCUGGCCUUAGCCUUUGAAGGUCAUUCAAUGUGAAUUUCCCCUGUAGACGGAGACAAUCUACAGCUCUCAUCAUAGGAAGCUGUGUGGCUUAUAAUAUCACUGUCCAGUAUACAUAACAGGUAUUACUUUUGCUGUGCAUUGGGAAGAAAGAUUUAAAACUUGAAUAUCUGGUUUCUAAAAGUUCUAAAGAUUGUAUUCCACAAUCAAUUUUGUGUGAUAAAUUUUGCUCAGAUUUGAGAAACUGUUAGAAAAAAGAUGAUAGGCAUCUCCCUUCAGCAAUGUUUUAUUAGAAUCCUUUUACUUUUCUGCUACCGCACAAAUAUGUAGACAGUAUGGCCUCUCUACUGAGACAAGAGAUAAGUAGAAUCAGGACAGUCAGAAAUUUAACAGUUUUCAUGGUCACUCUGCAUUAUUUUUGCCAGAGUUGUGAGGUUUGUGUUUGUUUAAUUUCAAUGCCCAUGCACUCGUAAUUAACAUUUAUCAGGUUCAUAUUUAAAGAAUUAUACACUUAAAAAGGACCCCCUAAUUCUAUACUCUAUUUGUCAUGAAACUUCAUAAUACAUUGACAGCUUAAGCAGUGUCAAGCAGACUGUUUCAUCUGAUUUAAAUCUUUAAUGGUACUCUCAUUGGUUAGAUGAAUUGUGAGUUUUGAGCUGUCUUGUCUGCAAUACAGGUUGAAAUAGAAAACGAAGGGGAGGAAACACAGAAUCUAGCUGAAGCAUUUACAUUCAAAGGGUUUUAAUAUUCUUUUAUUUGGUAUGUGGGGAAGAUAAUGUAAAUAUUCAGCUUCUUACUGCCAGAGUUUUCAGAUAGAUGAGAAACAAAGAGCUAUUAUAAUAUAGUAUAAAAACCCAGAAAUUUGUUUUAUUUGGAUAUGAUGAGAACUAUCUGAGAAUAAGUCAAAGUGAAGGAAAAACUAAAAAUGACACUAAGAAAUAGAUGGAAUUGUUUUUGUUUGAAUGUAAAUAAUGACUUUAAAUGAUUGGUGAGCAUUUAUGAAAUAGCUGUAGAAAAGUGACUCAAACUCUUUCUUUUCUUCUGAGUACAUAACCAGUCUUAGAUGGUAACUAUUUCAUUUUUUGAUUUGGAGAUUUUUGUUUGUUUGUUUGUUUUCUUUUCUUUUCUUUGAAACAGGGUUUCUCUGUGUAGCCCUGGCUGUCCUGGAACUCACUUUGUAGACCAGGUGGGCCUUGAAUUCAGAAAUCCGCCUGACUCUGCCUCCCAAGUGCUGGGAUUAAAGGUGUGCUCAAAGACCGCCCAGCCUUGGAGAAUGUUUUUGAACACUGAACAUCUUUUACAUAGCAGUUAAUGUUUGAUAUAUAAGUAAUGCAUCAAUGCUGGGUAACCUUACACAUGUAUUUUUAUUUUUGGAACCUUUAUUCAAAUAUUAGUUUUUCUUAGAGAGAAGGAUGAAUAUUUUUGUAAUUAAGUGAGCAGUUAGGUUGUCUUUCGGUGACCUAUGGAUUUCCUUCUCUCCAUAAAACGAAAACAGUGUGUGUGUGUGUGUGUGUGUGUGUGUGUGUGUGUGUGUGUGUGUGUGUGUGACAUUGCAGAGUGCAAAACUUGUGAUUUCAGAGACCUACACAGGGCCUAGAAAUGAUCUAGUCAUAAAGUCCUGUGUGAUGGUGAUCCUCUUCAAAAAAGAAUGAGAACUCUCUCUAUCAAAUCAUGCUUUCCAUGUCUUCACUAUUUUGCUUUUCUUUGUUCAUUUUACUUUCCCUUCUUCCUUGCAUUUUCAUUUAAGAAAUACUGAAUAACUGUGUGAAAAUAGCUACUCCUUUCAUACAAUAUAACACGACCACAGUUGCUCCUCCCUUCGCUUGUUCCAGUUACAUAACCUCCACCUCUCCUAUUCUCCUUCCCUUAACAUGCCACCCCACCUUCUGUUUUGUCUUUUUGAAAUAUGGUGCUUUCAAAGACAGGAGAUUCAAACACAACAAGACAAGAUAGUAAAGACAGGUAGAAAGCCCUCAUUUUGAGGCUGUACAUAGCAAGACAAUAGGAAGAAAAGAGCAGUAAGAUCAAGGAAAAGAGUCAGAGCUACAUCUGUUCCCAGAGUAAGGCAUUAUUCAGAUAGAAAGAUAAUAGCCAUAACAUAAAAGCAACAGACCUGACUGAGACUAAUUGAAACCCCAUUUUUGGUAUUUACAUCUCCGUGAGAUUCCUAGAAUCCAGGCAAUGUAAGGAUAGUGUUCUCUCUCAAGUGCAGCACCUCAAGUCAAACCAAAUAUUUGUUGGCACUCAACAAGACUUGUUACUAACUAGGCUCAGCACAAGGCAGGAAAGAUUGUAGGUUGAUUUUCUAGGUUGCAUUCUUUCUGGGUUUUUCUUUUAUGUCUUGUGGAACAGCUUCUCUCCACAGAGAGACUAGAAGAUAGGGGUGAAGGCUCCAAGGCUGCAUCCACUUGAUUUUCACAGUUAGUGAGCUGUGUGGAAGUUGUCCAAAGCAAUGGAACCAUUUGGUCAGUGUCCAUAGAGCAAAAUGUUUUUCCUGAAAUCAGCAUGCAUUGUUUAGAGGCCUCUUGGCUAGCUACCUCAUCAAGGAAAUGUGGUCUGUUCACAGUACUGAAGCCUUACUGGCUAUAAAGGCUGGAAGGUUCAGCCUGUUACCCUCAUAUUUCCCUAAAGGUUUCUAGGUCGCUAAUUUCCUAUACUAACCUCCAAAUGGCCUCUCCUUCCAGGUCUUUCUCCCUGUAUCUUUCCUUAUAUACCUCCCUCCAAAUGUUCCCUCCCCAUCCAUUUCCCAUUCACCUCAGUCUACCUGGAUUGUCUACUCUAGUUCCCCUUUCCAACAAGACCCAUGCAUCCCCUAUGUAUCUCUUCUCUUUACUUAACCUCUCUGAAUCUCUGGAGGAUAGCUUGAUUGUAAUUUACCUAAAGCCUAGUAUCCAUUUACCACUGAAUAUAUACCAUUUCUACCAUUGUAGAUUUUGGGUUACCUCAUUUAGUGUGAUAUUUCUUCUAGUUGCGUUCAUUAGCCUGUUUUCAUGCAUUCAUUUCAUGUUGUUUUAUUUUAGUAGGUUAGUGAUACUUCCAUUAUAUAAUCAUAGCACAUUUUCUUUAUUCAUUCUUCAGCUUUAAGACAUCUAAGUUGUCUUUAGCUUCUGGCUAGUACAAAUAAAGCUGCUAUGUACAUAGUUGACUAUGUGUCUUUUCAUUUUGUGGAUGGAGUUCCCUUUGUGUUUUUGCCCAAGACUGAUAUAGAUGGAUCUUGUAUAUAAACUCCCACUUUCCUAAGACAUCAUGAUAUUGAUUUCCAUAACAUUUGUAUUAGUUUGCAUGCCUACAAGACGAACAGUGGAUGUAAACUUACUUUUUCUCACAAAUACGAACAAUCAUUGGUGUGAUCAUAGCCAUUCUGAUAUGUGUACUAUGGAAUUACAAUGAAGUAUUUAUUUGCAGUUCCAUAUUGGCUAAGGAUGGUGAACAUCUCUUCAAGUGUUUCUCAGCCAUUUGAAGUUGUCUGUUGGGAAUUGAAUUCUUUGUUUAAAUGUGUUCAUAAAUUUUUAUCUGUUCUUUUGUUUGUUUUGUAUAUUUUUAAAACAUGUAGUUACUUGAGGUCUGUGUAUAUUUUUGUAUAUUACAACUCUAUCAUGUAGGUAUUGUUAAAAAAAACUAUCCUCAUUCCUUCAUUUGCCUCUUUCUUUUUCUAAUUAACUUGGCUUUUGCCUUACAGAAACAUCACUAUUUCUUGAGUUCCAAUUUAUUAAUUGCUAAUCUUAAUGCCUUCGAUAUUAGUGUUUUUCAGAAGUCUGUCUGCUGUGACAGUGCUGCUGGGGAUGUUCUGCCCUUAGGGUUCACUCAGGGUCACUGUGUCUGGCUUUGUCUUUAAUCCACUUGGACUUGAGUUUUGUGCAGGGUAAGUAAUAUAGAUAUACUUGCAUUCUUUUCCAUGUAGAGCUACAGUUUAAUAAGCUAUAUGAAGAUAGGUAUGGACUUGGUGGGGUGUGAACCAUGAUUCUUGCACCUGCGACAGCGCCCAGGUUUGAACCUCCAUGAGUUGCUGAGCAUGGCAUGGCCUUAGUGGGGCCAGAGUGACAUUUUAUCUGCCCCAGGACAGGGCCAGGUGUGAUCCUCUAGGAGUGUCAAUAUUUGUGUAAUAUUGUACAUGUUUCCUGGACACACAAGCAGUGGAAUACUCUUUCCUUUUAAGUAAUAUCCUCCCUGUUAUUGUUAUUGACUCCAUGAUGAUUAGAAAUAGCAGGAGCCCAUAAGUUGAGGGUGCGACUAUUUCUCAUCAAAAUGGUAAACACUGGGAAUUUCAGAACAGCAUUUGAUGCUGAGGGGAAGAGCUGUAAAUAUGUGAGUUUGAAAAUAUAUAAGUUCUCAACUAUAGAAAAAAUAAGGAUAUAAUAAAUGAAUAAAUGAGGGGCUUCUUCAAGAAUCUAAGGGAACAAACACAGCUACACUUUGACCCACCUUUUCAGAAAGAUUCAAGGCAGGAAGAAACACAGGCAGGAUGAUUUCCCAGUUCAAGGUCAGCCUGGGACACAGCAGGUACUGGAGCAGGCAUGGCAGAAACAGUAAUUUCAGGGCAGAAUCUACACUAUUAGCUUAUCAUGGGUCCUUUACAAAUGCAGACAGAUCUUGCGGGCGCCCGAAUCGCCAGCAAGGAUGACGCCGCAACAGGAUCCUUCUGCACACGUUUAUUGGGAGAGCUUGAUUUCAGAGGCGAAGAGACCCCAAGCCCAGAACUAGUGUUGCUUAUAUAGGCCUAGGAGAGGCGUGUCUUACACCUGGAUUGGUUAUGCAUUCUACCUCAUUUGCAUGUUCCUCAUCUGAUUGGUUAUUCUCUCUCAGUACCUCACAGAACCUCAUUAACAUACCUCAUUAUCAUGCCCGGGCCAGGCAGUGUUUUGGCAAGAAACUUUACUGCAUAUUUACACAUUGGUUGUUUGCCCAAACUUAUGCAUGGUGGCCAGCGGUAGCCAGCGCCACCCUGCAACAGCAUAUGUGGCUUCCCACAUCUCACCCUUUUUUUUUUUUAAUAAAAUGAGGCUGGACUAGGCCUGUGCAAUUAUGUCCAUGCGCCGUGGCUCCUGUUUUAGGUCGUUCCUCUAAUGUCACAGCCUUACCCAUCAUAGGGUAGCCCUAUCGCCACCGGGCCCCGUGUCUUAGGUUGGUCUGUGCACGAGGAAAGUUGCCCAUCUCUGGAAACCUCAGUGCUGUGUGACCGUAACUGCUAAAUGACCUAGGGCAAACUCUACAAAAGAGGCCAGCCAAAAAAUGAAUUAGUGGGGAAAUCAUGAUCACCCUAUCGCGUGCAAUGAGAAAACCUCAGCGAUGUGCAAGGGCUGAUCAAUGAUUGUCGAGUCUCUCUCAUCCCAGUGCAAUGGAUCCAUAAAUCCAUGGGGUGCAAGAGCAGAGAACUCAGUUGCCGACUAAUUCUUGAGCAUAGAUAACCAAACUUCAGGGGAGGCGCCGUUUUCAAUAGCUAAAAGUGCCUGAGUUAUAAUCACCUUGUCAUGUUUUUGUUGGGUUCUGAAUUUGCAUACCAACCAAAGCAUGAACACCAGUCCACAGCAUAUGGCAGCACCAAACAAAAUCACUCCCACCCAUUCCUUAAAGUAAGAAAAAGCAGAGGUAAGCCAAGAGGUAAAGUCUCUGAGGGUCACUGGUUCCACUCCGGUCCCAUUAAGGUUCAGGAUCUGUAUCUGCAGCCUCGUCUGCAAUCUUUCCAGCUCCUGCGAUCAGUUCCCCUUCAGAUAAUUUGAUAGGUCUGUACUUUUAAUAAAAGAAUAGUUAAUAUACCUAUUGGGAGUAAUGCACACAUGCGAAGUGGAUGCUACACAACUCAUUUGUAUGACAUCCAUCAUCUGUUCCAUGUUAUGUUGUAAAAUAUCCACUCUCUGAUUCACUAACAUUAACCCUGAGGUGAUAUGAGAAUCCACCCUUUGCAGGGUAAGCAAUGCUUCAGACGAUUUUUCUGCUAUCUGACUUAUGGUGUCAGCAGUAUUAAUUUGAUGGGCCAUAGCAGUUCCUGCGGUAACUGCUGAUGCCGCGGACACCACAAUGGCUGUAACAAUGGCAGCUGUGAUUCCAAAACCUCUCUUUUUCCGAACAAGACUCAUUAUUGGGAACUUCUCUGUAUCUGCCUUAACAGGCACAGGGACAAAGGUUGGCAAAUGUACCACUAAGGCUAAGAAUUUAGUUCCAUUCCAGCAUUGCGUCAAAAAACAAUUAUACAGUAUAAUUGACAUUUAUACAGUCUAACCAUUGUGUAUUAUUUUGAAAUUCAGCCAAUAUAAAGAAAAAUGGAGGAUUGACACAAACUUCUACUAGAGAAGUAGUCAUAUUUCUGAUAAUUCUAUUAGUUGUCACAUUAUCUAAACGAGCAGAGGUAUUGGAAAGUGUGGCAGAAACAUUCAAUCUCUAAUGAAAGGUUCCAGUCAGCAAUGCAAAGGCUGACAAACUGGUACUAGCACCUGCCUCAUUACUUAAAAUCCAUUGAUAAUAUGGCCAAAUAUUUUCUUU
rnacentral:lncRNA from 1 species